rnacentral:lncRNA from 1 species
UACCUGUAAUCCCAGCACCUGGGAGGCUGAGGCAGGAGGAUCACCAUGAGUUCAAGGCCAGCUAAAAAUGUUUUUAAAAAAUAAAAACAAAAGGCCAGAGAUAUACCUCAGCAGUAGAGUGCCCCUGGAUUCUACACACAUACAGACACACACACACACACACACACACACACACACAAGAAUGAAGAUGGCAGGGAUAUGGCUCAGUGGUAGAGUGCUUGCCUAGCAUGUGUGAGGUUUUGAGUUUGCUCCCUAGCGAUGAAAACAAAAAAAGAAGAAAUGAAGAUAACCUGAAUGAACUACUAUUGACUGAUUUCCAAAAAUUGUUAUAAGGUAAAAACCUAAAAAUUGGUUGUGUAUGCCUGUAAUCCCAGAACUCAGGAGGCUGAGGUGGGAAGAUUAUGAGUUCUGAAAUACAUAAUGAGACCCUGUCACAAAAAUGCACCCUUUUGGGCUGGGAAUGUAGCUCAGAGGUACCACGCCUUCCUGGCAAGCACAAGGUCCUGAGUUCAACCCCCAGUACCAAAAAAAGAGUAACCUUUUGGGUAGGAAGAAAAAGGAAAUAAGAAUAUACAAAAUGUGUCUGCUUAUCUUUACAAAAAAAAACACUGGAAGGAUAAACCUGAAAAUAAUAAAGUUGGUUAUUUAUUAGCAUUUUCUCAUUUUGUGUAGAUGGAGAAAAUGGUGACGCCAUUCAUGGUAGCACACACCUGAAAUCCCAGCACUCAAGAGGCUGAGGCAGGAGGAUGGCUGCGAGUUGGAGGCCAGCCUGGCUACAGACCUCUUCAGCUCUUCAGCUCCAAUGACAUUUCCAUCAGUAGUUUUGUUUCCUUCCUCCGAUUUCCUCAGUUCUUCCAUCUUUUGUAGGCAAGAUCUUAUUUAUCCACCUCUGUCUUCUCUCUCCCUCUCUCUCUCUCAUUGAACUGAGGGCCUCACACGUGCCAGGCAAGUGCUCUACCAUUGAACUACAACCCCACACCAACCUGUUGUGAUUUUCCUUCCUUCCUAACCAAUUUUGGGUUCAUGAUCACUUAAAUCAGGAGUCACAAACUACAAUACUUUUAAAGGACCAAAUUGAAUUGGGCAUAGUGGUACACAUCUGUAAUCCCAACUAUUUGGGAGCCUGAGGCAGGAGGAUCUCAAAUUGGAACCCCGCCUGAGCAUUUAGCAAUUCCCUGUUACAACAUAAAAAGGACUGGGUGUGUAGCUCACCAUGUUCCAAUGCCCUGCAUUGGGCUGAGGAGUCAAAUAGAUAACAUGGUGCUCAGUGUCUUAAUCUGCUCAGGUUGCCAUAACAUCAUAACCUGGGUGGCUUAAAUAAUAGAAAUGACUUUCUCACAGAUCUGGAGGCAGGAACAUCAGAGAUCAAAGUUCCCAAUAGGUUAAGUUUCUGGUCAGGGCUCUCUUCUGGUUUGCCUUCUCACUAUUGUCCUCAUAGUAGAGAGAACUAGAAAGCUCUCUGGUGUCUCUUCACUAUUUCUUUUGGAUCAGGUGCCUACCUGUAUGAUUUCAUUUAAUCUUAAUUACAUCCCUAAAGUUCUUACUUUUAAACAGUCAAAUUAGCUGGGUGUGGUGGCACAUGACUGUUAUUCUAGCACUUGGGAGGCUGAGGCAGCAAGAUCACUGUAAAUUCAAGGCCAGUCUGGCCUACAUAGUUAGUUCAAGGCCAGCCUUAUCUACGUAGUGAGACCGUGCCUCAAAAAAUCAAAAAUAAAAAAAUACAGUCAAAUUGAGGACUGGGGUUGGGGACCCAAUGGAGGUGGUACAACUCAAUCCAUAGCACUCAGGUAUUGAGACAUUACGGAAAUAUGACAAGCUAGAGAAGCACAAACGUGGUCUACAACUGCCCCUCAACUUCAAAAAACAAAAAGAAAAGAGAAAAACCCAGAGCUAACAGCAUACUUAAUGAUGACAAACUAAAAAAAUUUCUCCUAAAAUCACAAACAGAACAAGAAUGUUUACUCUUGCCACUUCUAUUCAACAUUAUACUAGAAUUUCUAGCCAGUGCAAUUAGCAAAAAGAAGAAAUAAAAAGUAUACAAAUUGGAAAGGAAGAAAUAAAACUACCUUUAUUUGCAGAUAGAUGUUCUUAUAUGUACAAAAUCCUAAGAAACCCACAAAAUUGUUAGUACUAAUAGUUCUUUGGUUUGUUUUUCUGUUCUUAUUUGUUUGUUUGUUUGCUUGCUUGCUUGUUUCUUUUUGAGACAGUGUCUCACUAUUUAGUGCAGGCUGGCCUCAAACUUGCAGCGAUCCUCCUACAUUAGCCUCCUGAGGGCUGAGAUUACAGGCAUGUACCACCAUGCCUGGCUUGACUGUUGUUUUAUUUUGUGAUGUUGAGGAUAAAAUCCAGGGCUUUGUGCAUGCUAGGCAAGUGCUCUCUAGUAUGAGCACUUGUCAGAAUUAAUAAAUUCAGCAAAGUAGCAAUAUAUACGAUUGAAAUGCAAAAACUAAUUGCAUUUCUAUCUACUAACAAUGCAAAAUCAAAAAUAAAAUUUGAAAAUCCAUUCUUUUUGCAAUGCAGCAAAUUUAGGAAUAAAUUUAAUUGAAGUACAAGACAUCUUUUCUUAAUUUAUUUUUGGUUUCUAAAAAAUCCACGCCAGGGAAGUGGGAGGGGUAGGGGAAAGGAAAGAAGGGAAUGAUAUUAAUAUGAGAAAAUAAAAAAAUGGAAACAGUCUUUGU